GUCCCUGUAGAUGCUAUGGAUAGUGCGUUGGAUUUCUCCUCCAAAGGUCGUGGGUUCGAAUCCCACCUGGGACG